GGGAACGUGCCCCAAAGUGAGGAAUAACCCCUCGAAAGGGUGGCUAAUGCCGCAUAUGAUCUUCGGAUUAAAGGAUUUAUCCGCUUUGGGAGCGGCCCGCGUUAGAUUAGGUAGUUGGUGAGGUAAUGGCUCACCAAGCCUACGAUCUAUAGGUGGUCUGACAGGAUGAUCAGCCAGACUGGAACUGAUACACGGUCCACACUCCUACGGGAGGCAGCAGUGAGGAAUCUUCCACAAUGGGCGAAAGCCUGAUGGAGCAACGCCGCGUGAAGGAUGAAGGCCCUAGGGUCGUAGACUUCUUUUAUAAGUGAAGAAUAUGACGGUAACUUAUGAAUAAGCACCSKCUAACUACGUGCCAGCAGCCGCGGUCAUACGUAGGGUGCAAGCAUUAUCCGGAGUGACUGGGCGUAAAGAGUUGCGUAGGUGGUUUGUUAAGUGAAUAGUGAAAUCUGGCGGCUCAACCGUACAGGCUAUUAUUCAAACUGGCAGACUCGAGAAUGGUAGAGGUAACUGGAAUUUCUUGUGUAGGAGUGAAAUCCGUAGAUAUAAGAAGGAACACCAAUGGCGUAGGCAGGUUACUGGACCAUUUCUGACACUGAGGCACGAAAGCGUGGGGAGCGAACGGGAUUAGAUACCCCGGUAGUCCACGCCGUAAACUAUGGAUACUAGCUGUUGGAGGUAUCGACCCCUCCAGUAGCGAAGCUAACGCGUUAAGUAUCCCACCUGUGGAGUACGGUCGCAAGACUAAAACAUAAAGGAAUUGACGGGGACCCGCACAAGCGGUGGAUUGUGUUCUUUAAUUCGAUGAUAAACGAAGAACCUUACCAGGGUUUGACAUCCCAAGAAUUAUGUCGAAAGACGUGAGUGCUUUAUUGAACUUGGUGACAGGUGAUGCAUGGCCGUCGUCAGCUCGUGUCGUGAGAUGUUUGGUUAAGUCCAUCAACGAGCGCAACCCUUGUGAUUAGUUGAAUUUUUCUAAUCAGACUGCCCCGGCAACGGGGAGGAAGGAGGGGAUGAUGUCAGGUCAGUAUUUCCCUUACAUUUUGGGCUAGAAACGCAAUACAAUGGCCAGUACAAUGUGCAGGGAAGCCGCGAGGUGAAGCAAAUCACAUCAAAGCUGGUCCAAGUUAGGAUUAGAGGCUGAAACUCG
rnacentral:rRNA from 1 species